rnacentral:rRNA from 1 species
GGUUACUGCUAUCGGUGUUCGCCUAAGCCAUGCGAGUCAUAUGUUCGUAAGAACAUGGCGUACUGCUCAGUAACACGUGGAUAACCUGCCCUUGGGUCCGGCAUAACCCCGGGAAACUGGGGAUAAUUCCGGAUAACGCACAUAUGCUGGAAUGCUUUAUGCGUAAAAUGGAUUCGUCUGCCCAAGGAUGGGUCUGCGGCCUAUCAGGUAGUAGUGGGUGUAAUGUACCUACUAGCCUACGACGGGUACGGGUUGUGAGAGCAAGAGCCCGGAGAUGGAUUCUGAGACAUGAAUCCAGGCCCUACGGGGCGCAGCAGGCGCGAAAACUUUACAAUGCGGGAAACCGUGAUAAGGGGACACCGAGUGCCAGCAUCCUAUGCUGGCUGUCCAGGUGUGUAAAAUACACCUGUUAGCAAGGGCCGGGCAAGACCGGUGCCAGCCGCCGCGGUAACACCGGCGGCCCGAGUGGUGAUCGUGAUUAUUGGGUCUAAAGGGUCCGUAGCCGGUUUGGUCAGUCCUCCGGGAAAUCUGACAGCUUAACUGUUAGGCUUUCGGAGGAUACUGCCAGACUUGGAACCGGGAGAGGUAAGAGGUACUACAGGGGUAGGAGUGAAAUCUUGUAAUCCCUGUGGGACCACCUGUGGCGAAGGCGUCUUACCAGAACGGGUUCGACGGUGAGGGACGAAAGCUGGGGGCACGAACCGGAUUAGAUACCCGGGUUGUCCCAGCCGUAAACGAUGCUCGCUAGGUGUCAGGCAUGGCGCGACCGUGUCUGGUGCCGCAGGGAAGCCGUGGAGCGAGCCACCUGGGAAGUACGGCCGCAAGGCUGAAACUUAA